GAGAGGUUACAGAGAAGCUUUAGCACUCACAUAAAUCACAAUAUAUUGUUGAGUUAGUUAUAUUGUUUUAAGUUAGUUUUUGGUGGAAACUCUUGAGUGUUUGUUUUGAGUGUGAGGAGAUUAAGUUUUGGGAGCGGAAACUAGAAUCUUGAAGCAUAACAUUUACGAAAGCGAUUAAUUUUUCUAAGAUCCGAAGGGUCACGAGGUUCGCAACUUCUAUGCACUACUCAUGAAGGUAAGGGUAACUCAGUAUAGAAGUGUCAUUGAGUCUUGUCUGCUUUAAUUGCACUGCUUGUUGACUGUUCUGAGGCUUUUGCCAAAUGUUUUCUAAGGCUUCGGCCAUUGUUAAACCUUAAGGCUCACACCUUCGUUUUCUGAGGCUUAGGCCAUUGUCCAUUGCUUAAUGAUUUACUUGAUGAGUUAGUAUACAUAAUUGAAUUGACUUAUGCUUGUUGGAAAUAUGAAUAACAUGUGGUUAUUCUGUCUUGAUUAUUGGACUUGGAACUAUUGAUUAAGUGGCCACUGAGUUUGAUGAGAUGUUGUUGACUAACUUUGGCAUAUAGGGCUUGAACUUGAAGUGGCAAUGUGGUGGUGAUUGUCCCACGUGAUUGUCCCGUCUUUUGGGGCAUUAUAAAGUGGCGAGGGUUAUUAAGUGACAUUCAGAAGUUUUCGUUCUCCGUCUGUCCCGUCUUUCAUGGGCAUUAAUAAGUGGCAUUCAGGAGUUAUCGUUCUCCGUCUGUCCCGUCUUUCAUGGCCGUUAUUAAGUGACAGUUCAGGGGUUUUCGUUCCUCGUCUGUCCCGUCUUGUGAGACAUUAUUGGUCGAUCCAUUUUGGUAGCAGCAUAUAGCUGCAUUUUAGGCACUAACGUUUGAUUUUGUUGAUAUCUGGUUUAACACUAUAUUGUUGGAUGUGUUGGCUUCUGUCCUGAAUUAAAUUGCUCGCUUACUUACCAUAUUAUGUUGUUGGUAUUGAAUAACAUGUUUUUCUCUUUUAUGUGAAGUGAUUGCAUGGAGUUAACCCUUUCUGUUUUCUACUUGUUGUUUUGGCGCUUAACGCUAUUAGACAAUGGAGAUUCUUCCGAUGACGCUUAGUCAUGCACGAGAUGUAGAAGGGAUAGUAAGCGGCGGAGUGAAGAUGGAAGGAGAAGUUUGAUUUUCCUUUGGGAGCUGUAUUUGAGUCUCCUUUGUUAUCUGAAAACUCCAUUACUAAAAUCCCGCGUUUGCCACUUGCUAAGUGUGCGUACUUAUUUUGAAACCUGUUUAUGAUAUCGUGAAUUACUAUAUGACUAUGUAUAUUAUUAUUAUGUUGGUUACAGGUUUAAUUUUGAGGGUUAUGCUAUGUUUAGAAAUCUACAGUGGAAGUGUUUUAUCAAACAAGAGACAGG
rnacentral:lncRNA from 1 species